CUACGGGCGGCACCAGUGGGGAAUAUUGCACAAUGGAGGAAACUCUGAUGCAGCAACGCCGCGUGGAGGAUGACACUUUUCGGAGCGUAAACUCCUUUUAUAUAGGAAGAAGAUGACGGUACUAUAUGAAUAAGCGCCGGCUAACUCCGUGCCAGCAGCCGCGGUAAUACGGAGGGCGCAAGCGUUACUCGGAAUCACUGGGCGUAAAGAGCGUGUAGGCGGAUUAAAAAGUCAGAAGUGAAAUCCUAUAGCUUAACUAUAGAACUGCUUCUGAAACUCUUAAUCUAGAAUGUGGGAGAGGUAGAUGGAAUUUCUGGUGUAGGGGUAAAAUCCGUAGAGAUCAGAAGGAAUACCGAUUGCGAAGGCGAUCUACUAGAACAUUAUUGACGCUGAGACGCGAAAGCGUGGGGGGCAAACAGGAUUAGAUACCCGAGUAGUC
rnacentral:rRNA from 1 species